UAUAUGUUUUAAAAAAUUUUGUUUGGUAUGCAAUAAAUGAUUGUAAAUAGAUAAAAGAAAAUAAAAAUCUCCCAAAAUCUCAAUAUCCAAUAAAAAUAUAGCAAGUGUCAACAUCUUAAUAAUCUCUUUUUUUCAAGGAAAAAAAAGUUUUGGACAAUACACUCUCAUUUUCUUGAGUUUGAAACACACAUUCCACUCACUUAUUGACACGUGGCAUACACAUGCCCAAAAUUUAUCUUUUCAACAUGUUGAAUAGUUUCAACCAAGUUGAAUCCACGUAAGAUUUUUUAAUUAUUCGGCAGGUGCAAUGUGGAGAUUCAACUAUUGAAUAAAUAAUUCAACACGGGCAUUGUGGAUAGUCUUACACUAUGAACAAUGGUCUUUUCAUUAAACACCCUCCACAUUAUCUUCUUUCUCUUCCACAUCCUUUCCUUUUUCUUUCACAGAAUAAUUCAAUACCCACUCAAAUUUUAUACUCUACAAUGGUAUUUUAUAAGAGAAUUUAU
rnacentral:sRNA from 1 species